AAAAAUUGACUUGUGGAAAAUGUGGACGAGUAAACGACGCCUCGUUGUCUGAUCUCAACAAAUGCAAAUACUUCUACUGUGUUGUUCCACUCCCCAGUCUUGUCAAAAUUUGCAAAAUUUCUUCACCUUCUUCCUCAAUCGCCAUGCCAUUUCUGGCUAAAUUUUCUCUCUCCUAGGGUUUCAUUUCCUGCAGAAUUUCAUCAACAAUGGAGGAGCAAGCAUCCACAGCUUCAACUGUCAUUACUGCCGCUGACGCCAGGUUAGUGAUGAAAAAACUCGGUGAUUUUUUUGAUAAUUCGUACUCCACUGUGUUCGCAAUUCCUUCUCUCUCCGAACAAUGGAGUACAUUGCAGAGUUCCUUCGCCAUGGUAGAAGCUUCCAUGGCGAGCCGUGAGAAGGAACUCGAGUCAAAGAAGCGAGAAAAUAUUACAGAUGUUGUUGGUAGAGUUAAGAGGUUGCGGGAGACUGUGGAGUUGCGGGAGAAAGUGGUGGCAAAGAGAGAGAAUAGUGUAAAACAGAGUUACGAGGUGAUUGAUUUGAAGAAGAGGAAGGCUCUAGAGAAAAGGAACGCGUCGGAGGGGUUAAGAAAGAAGUUCGGCGAGGUCGAGGGGAAGGAAAAUCAGGAGCGGUACAGAGUGUUGGAGACGAGAGAGAAGCAAUUUGCGGCUCGUUGCAAUGUGGAUGAAGUGUCUCAGUUGAGGGAGAAGGAAAUGAUGGAGCGGGAAGAAGGGCUGAAGUUGAAGGAGAGGCGAAUUCAAGAGCGGAUUCAGGAGUUGGAAGUGAAGGAGAGGAAGGUGGAUGAGGGGUUUUUAGCUUGUCGGAAGGAAUUGGAGUUGAAGAAGGAUGAAUUGAUUGAGAAGCGGCGAGGGCUGGUGUUAGUAGAGAAGAAGUUGAAUGAGCAAUGUUGUGAAUUGCAGUUGAAAGCUGGGGAAUUGUUGGAGGAGCGUAAGGUGUUGGUGUUGAAGGGGAAGGAAUUGGCGGAGAUGUGUAAAAGGGGGGACUUAAUGAAGCACGAUGUUGAGGAAAUGAAUGACAGGUAUGGAGCUGUUGAAUUGAAAGAAAAUGAAUUGAGUGAAGGUCUGCGGUUGUUGGAAUCGAAAGAGAAAGAGUUGAAUGUGCGUCGAGAAAAGCUGGAGUCGACAGAGAAAGAUGUUGAUGAGUGUUUCAUGGCAGUGACCUUGAAAGAAAAGGAACUGAAUGAAAGUGUUCGAGCAUUGGAGUUGAAACAGAAGGAAAUCAAUGAGAGUCGGAAAGAGGUGGAGUUGAUGAAGAUGGAAGUUGAUGGUAGGUGUAGAGUAGUAGAAUUGAAAGAGAAAGAAAUGAAUGAUCGUCUUCAUGGAUUGGAGUUGAAAGAGAAACAACUCAAUGAGAGUUACGAAAGGCUGGAGUUGGCACAGAAGGGUGUUGAUGAAUGUCUCCGAGCAGGAAACUCAAAAGAAAAGAAAAUGAAUGAAAGUGUCCGAGCAUUGGAGUUGAAAGAAAAGGAAAUAGAUGAGAUUCUUAAAGAGCUUGAUUUGAUGAAGGGAGUUGAUGAACGUUGUCUAGCAGUAGAAGAAAAAGAAAAGGAAUUGAAUGACAGGUUUGCAGAAUUGGAUUUCAGGGAGCAGCAAAUUGAUGUGUGCCGCGAAAUUCAGGAAUCCAAAGAGAAGCACAUUGAUAAGUGUUACCGAAAUUUGGAGUUGAAAGAGGAGCGUAUUUAUGAACGUUCCCAAAGUUUGAAGUUGAAAGAGAGGCACAUUCAUAAGCGUUCCCGAAAUUUGGAGUUGAAAGAGAAGCGAAUUGAUGAGCGUUCCCGAAGUUUGGAGUUGAAAGAGAAGCGAAUUGAUGAGCGUUCCCAAAGUUUGGAGUUGAAAGAGAAGCACAUUCUUAAGCGUUACCAAAGUUUGGAGUCCAAGGAUAAGCCGAUGAAGAUUAAGUUGCAAGAGAAGAAACUGAAUGAGGCCCUUCAAGCUCUUGAACCAAAAGAGAAGCAUAUCGAUAAACAUUACCAAAGACUGGAGUUGAAGAAAAAACAGACAAGUGAGCAGUGUAGGGUGGUUGAGCUGAAAGAGAAGCAGCUGGACAAGGCCCUUCAAGCUGUUGAACCAGUAAAGAAACAAAUAACGGAGAAAUACAGAGACUUAGAACUGAAGAAGGAAAUCAACGACCGCUGUGAAGACAUGGAGGUGAAAGAGACACAGAUAAGAUGUUGCCACAGAUCACUGGAUUUGAGAGAACAGGAAAUCAAUGAGUUUCGCAGAGUGCAUAAAUCUGAAGAUAAACAAAUCAGUGAGACUUUUAGAUCCACGGAGUCAAAAGAGAAGAAAAUGAAUCAGAUCAAGGAGGGGGUAGAGUUCAAAGAGAAACAAUCAAAUGGCACUAGUAUUGAGCUGGCUGAAGCUAAGAAUGGAGACUCCACUUGUGCAGAAGUUGAAACUAAAGAGCCUCUGCCAGGGACUUUCUUAGUAACCAGAGCAGUUGCUUCAUCCUCCGUUAGGUUGGCUGAUGACAUACAGUUGCUGUGCAAAAAUAUGGAUAUGAAAGGUGUAAGGUCAUAUCUAAUUCAGCAUGUAAAGGAAUAUGAUAUCUUGGAGGAUAAGAUUUUGGAUUCUCUUCGGUUAGCAUCAGAUCCUGCAAAGCUUGUUUUAGAUGUGUUUCAAAGUUUUUAUGAUCUGGAGUUGGAAGAAUUUCCUGUUAAAGAUCUUACUGCUGGCUGCAUAUUUUUGUUAGUACAGUUGAUGAAACUAAGGUCUGAUAUUUCCUCUCGUGUGAAAGAUGAAGCCAGUGAAUUUGUCGGCAAUUGGAAGUUAAUGCUGAAGCAGGAUAAUACCCCGUUGGAGAAUUUUGGCUUCUUGCAGUUUUUAGCUUCGUACAAGCUAGCAGAGUCCUACCAUGCUGACGAUCUUUUUUCACUUUUUAUAACCAUUUUUGAUGAGAGAAAGGUUUAUCAACCUGAGAAAAAUCCACAUUUGUGCGAUGCAUUGGGACUGACAAGGAAGAUUCCAGAUCUUGUCCAGUCUCUGAAUUUGAGAGAUAAACAACUGCAAGCAGUCAGGUAUAUAUGUGCACUUCAUAUGGUAGAUGCUUUCCCAAUAGGUUCACUAUUGAGAACCCAUUUGGUGAAUAUCCAGAAGCAAGUUGAGGAGAUAACUGAGCAAGGCAGCAUUACAGCUCAGGAUGAUGCUUCCGAUAUGGAAUUGACUGCCCUAAAAGAAGUUGUUAAAUGUAUUUCGUACUUUAAGCUCGAGUCCCAUUAUUCUCCUGUUUCCCUUGAAAAGCGCAUCAAGCAGUUGGAAGAGGAGAGAAAAGAAAGAAAGAGCAGUGCACAUUCGUUUGCAAUAAAGAAGUGUUCAGACUUGGAAAAGAUAGGAAUGGAGGAGAUGGCUGAAACUAGUAAUAUUCGGGAUCUUCCCUCUGAGAAGAAACGCCCUGCAAAAUCCGUAGAGAGUCCAAAACAAGAAAAGCGUCCUAGGGUUGUUGCUCAUCAUGAGUUAACUCCUGAUUGUCCUAGCUUUUUAAGACCACCUGCACACUUCUGGCCCUAUGGAUAUCCUGUUUGGCAACAUCAACCUCCGCCCGUAACUUGGCCUAUGCCUAGCUAUGAUUAUGUUGCCUCGAGUGCCGUUGCUGGUGUUGCAUAUGAUACAAGAACAGCUGGGUUCGGUGUUGCUGCAACUUACCCUGUUGGUGCUCCUACACUGGUUAGUAACGCUAGGAAUCAAGCUUAUAGAGAAGCACGAGGCCAUGAUUCCAUUGUAAUACCAACAAAUUUUAACAGGAGCUAAGUCACGUGUAUGAAUUAGUUUGUGUGUAGGAACCUGGUCUUGUUUAACACAAUUAGCUAACUAGUUACACUAGCAAAAUUGGCUAUGUUUUAAGUACUUCGAAUGUGUAGUCGUGCCCGGUCUACCGUCUGAAGAGACCAGAUGCGUAAAACUUUAGUUUUUCUUGUGCAAAAUGAACUUUUUCUUAUGGGAUUCAAUAUCAACAAGCCGGCUAUAAAGGAUGUCGAAAGGUGUUGAACACUUAUCCGGUCCAAUUUGUUAGAAGCUUUUGGUGUAUUUGAAGGGAAGGUGAUACACAUAAACAAGCCUUUCUUCAAGGCUAUGUACCUACAUUGCAGAGGUAGUGAGGUACAUAACCAAUUGUUAAUGGAUUUGUGGAGUUGUAAAAACUUGAUAGAUAAAAUCUUAUACGACAAGGAUGUUGCAAAAUGGAUUCGGAGGAAUCAAGGAUGCUACACUGGAAUUCAUACCCUA